rnacentral:rRNA from 1 species
AUACGUAGGGGGCAAGCGUUGUCCGGAUUUAUUGGGCGUAAAGAGCGUGUAGGCGGCCAGGUAGGUCGGUUGUGAAAACUGGAGGCUUAACCUUCAGACGUCGACCGAAACCAUCUGGCUAGAGUCCGGAAGAGGAGAGUGGAAUUCCUGGUGUAGCGGUGAAAUGCGCAGAUAUCAGGAAGAACACCCGUGGCUAAGGCGGUUCUCUAGUACGAUACUGACGCUGAGACGCGAAAGCGUGGGGAGCGAACAGGA